AACAGUGCACAAUUCCAGCUGAUCUCGGGAUUCAAGUUCCUAGAGAGAAAAUGGCUCAGACAAGCGCCUGCCAAGGGUGUGAGGAGAGCGCCGCAACAAGAGUCACAGUAGCACAAAACACUGAUCCAUCAAGUCUGGUGUGUGUUAUACUGUGAAACCAACAUUUCACCCUGAUGUUCAGUCGACUGGACUGAUAUGCAUGGUAUCGAUCACUCAGGAUAAAACUUUCUCAUCUGUUUUUGUCUGUGAUUUGUUUUUACUCUUAAAGAGUCGGGAGGACCCUUUUCCAUAUUAGGUAAGAAAUACUCAGCAAGGUUUCAGUGUUUCUUUGGCACUUUACUGGAAAUCAUAACAGAUUUCUGUUAAUUAUCAGUGUUAUUUUGGCAGUUAAACUGCAUAAUAAAUAUGCAAAGGUAAUUCUAUUUUUUAAAUCACACGAUUAGUUUUUUUUCCUCCUGAUUAAUUAUGUGAACUAAUAAA